rnacentral:lncRNA from 1 species
UCCGAUAUACCUUCUCGUCCUUGAAUCUUUAACACGACACAAUUAUUCGAAAUAAAAUGCUAUUUAAAAAUUGAAUGAAGACAACAACGUGAGAACUUUAAAUCUAAAAAAUCAAUCAGUUGCAAAACAAAAACGAAUAAAAUUUCAUCUCCAUUCCCUUCCAUUAUACAUACAUGCUAUACUAUGUGUUAUAUCCCAUAACAAAUUACCUUAAAACGAAAAGAUGAUUGAUCUACUACGCUGCAACUUAAAACAAAAUCAGGAAAAUGAAAAUACGUUCACCAGAAUAAUGCAAUUAAGGGGAAAAAAAUAUAAAAAAAUUAAAUUAAAGUUAUUUGCAUACAUUGUAUAUAGUUACGUUGGUUCCGAAUCAAUAAUCCGUGCUCCAAAGAGAUCCACGUGUAUACCAGUCAAGUCUUCAAAAGAAGAGAUAUGCUACUUUGUAGAGAAAGAAGAUGCAUUCUCCCGUUUCUGCGAGAUGGCCGACGUAGAGAGGCUUGAAUCUAUCUUAACGACGCCCACGGAUAUUUUAGAACAACGAUCGAGGGGUCUUCCAUGGUCGUUGUGGAACCGCAUUCGUCCUGAUCUCCUUGACCGCCGGCGUCAGAUUCCCAAUUCGCGAAAGAAGAGAAGAAGUGAUGAAGAGAAAAGUCGACGAGAGAACUUUAGUUCAAAAUUUUUGGCUAUGGUUUUAUGAUUAUAAAAUCUGUCAAUUAUGAAUAAUACAAGUACAACACCUAGUAAUUAUAUAAAUGGUAAAUAGCACUUUAACCCUCAUGUGUUGCAAGCUUUUGCAGAUGACCUCAUUGUGCUCGUAAUAUCAGCACAUAACCCCCUUGUGGUUUAGGAGGUAGCUUCCGUUAGUUUUUCCAUCAAACUUAACUGUUCGUGUCAAACUUCAAGGGAUUUAUCUGCAAAAAUGAAAGGGAAAAUGUAAGCACAAUGGGGUCAUCUGUAAAAAAAAUACUUUAAAAUUUGACACAGACGGUUAAGUUAAUUAGACAGAAAAACUAUCGGAAACUACUCCCUAAACCACAAGGAGUUUAUGUGUUGAUAUUACGAGCACAAGGAAGUCAUCUGCAAAAGAGCUAUUUAACCACAUGGGAGUUGAGUACUAUUUACCCUUAGGGUCCAUUUGGAUGGAGGGAUUUGGAGGAGGGAUUUCAAAUCCAUAAUAACAAAUUCCUGGGACUUGUUUGGAUUGAGGGAUUUGACGAUGAAUUUCAAAUCCACACCCCUCCUUUUUAGUUGUUUUUGGAGCAAUUGGUGUGGAUUUCAAAUGACUCCAAAUUUGGAGUCAUUCCAAAUCCCUUCCCCAAAUCAAAUCCUCCUCCAAAUCCCUCCAUCCAAACGCACUCCUAGAUAAAUAUUAAUUUAACUAAACAAUCAAGGACGGUUUCACUAAUAUUGAAAAAUAAUGUUAAUCCAUCAUAAUAUACCCUAAUGUGUUG